CCUGGCUAGGACGAACGCUGGCGGCACGCCUAACACAUGCAAGUCGAACGGAGAUAAUUGAGUUACUUAGGUUAUCUUAGUGGCGGACGGGUGAGUAACACGUGAGCAACCUACCUUGGAGAGAGGGAUAGCUUCUGGAAACGGAUGGUAAUACCUCAUAACAUAUUCGGAAGGCAUCUUUUGAAUAUCAAAGAUUUAUCACUCUGAGAUGGGCUCGCGUCUGAUUAGAUAGUUGGUGAGGUAACGGCUCACCCAAGUCGACGAUCAGUAGCCGGACUGAGAGGUUGAACGGCCACAUUGGGACUGAGACACGGCCCAGACUCCUACGGGAGGCAGCAGCGGGGAAUAUUGCACAAUGGGGGAAACCCUUGAUGCAGCGAUGCCGCGUGGAGGAAGAAGGUUUUCGGAUUGUAAACUCCUGUCUUAAAGGACGAUAAUGACGGUACUUUAGGAGGAAGCUCCGGCUAACUACGUGCCAGCAGCGGC
rnacentral:rRNA from 1 species